GAUGAACGCUGGCGGCGUGCUUAAUACAUGCAAGUCGAACGGAAACAGUAGCAAUAUUGUUUUAGUGGCGAACGGGUGAGUAACGCGUUGGUGACCUGCCCCGAAGAGGGGGAUAACAGUCCGAAAGGAUUGCUAAUACCCCAUGUGGUCGUUUGGAUUAGAUGCCCUGAGUCUAAAGGAGUAAUCCACUUUGGGAGGGACCUGCGUCCCAUCAGCUAGUUGGUAAGGUAACGGCCUACCAAGGCUUCGACGGGUAGGGGACCUGAGAGGGUGGCCCCCCACAAUGGAACUGAAACACGGUCCAUACACCUACGGGAGGCAG
rnacentral:rRNA from 1 species